UCUUGCAAACUAAAGAUGGCACCGGCGCACGGGUGAGUAACACGUAUCCAACCUGCCGAUAACUCGGGGAUAGCCUUUCGAAAGAAAGAUUAAUAUCCGAUAGUAUAUUAAAACCGCAUGGUUUUACUAUUAAAGAAUUUCGGUUAUCGAUGGGGAUGCGUUCCAUUAGUUUGUUGGCGGGGUAACGGCCCACCAAGACUACGAUGGAUAGGGGUUCUGAGAGGAAGGUCCCCCACAUUGGAACUGAGACACGGUCCAA
rnacentral:rRNA from 1 species